rnacentral:lncRNA from 1 species
AUGUCAGAAGUGGUCAAGCAUAAGGAGCAUGUCACACAGUGUCUCACUGAAAAGAGAGGAAAAGCUUCACUCUUCGUUGGAAUGACAAGCAAUUAUCCAAAGUUACAGUUUGGCUUCUUGGAUACUUCUCUUAAGAAUGAAGACAGUGAAAGAAACAGAUGGUGGAACAUGGCAUACAGAGUCAUUUCAUUACUGAAGCUUUUAUUUCUGGAGGAUUGGGAAAUACUUUUGUUUUUAUCAUGAGCAACAGUUUGGAGGACUGCUUAGAAAGAUAACAUUUCAGUACCAGUUGGGUAUCUCCAGGAAAUUAUUAUGGACAAAAUAG